UUCCCAGAGCUGCUCUCUGCCGCCUGCGUGAUCACGGCCGCCAUCCCUAGGACCCGCUUCCUGAGGGUGGGACCUUCAAGCACACGGCAGGGCACGCAGUCGGCGCUCAAUAACUGUUUGAUGUGUGUUGUGGGUUGAACUACAUCUCCCAGAAAGACAGGCUGACAUCCUGACCCCCGGUUCCUGUGAAUAGGAGCCCAGGGGCUCCGGGGGUAGCACAGCCCGGCCCACGCCUUGAUGUUGGGCUUCCGGCCUCCAGGACGGUGGGAGGCCGAAUCUCUGCUGUUCAAGCCACUCAGCCUGUGGGUAUUUGUUCCCGCAGCCCCGGGAAACUUGCCCAGGGUCACUCAGGCUACCGGAACAGAGCUGGGAGUUAAACCCGUUCCAAUCAGCCUCAGUGCCCCCAGGGCCUGAUGCUCAGCGGGGCCUCUGCGGCUCCUCCCUCCCCACCCCCCUGCCCUGCUUCUGCCCCGCCCUGUCGGGUACAGACCCAGGCAGUUCUGCUAAGGGGGCAGCGGGAAGCAAGGCGGGGGUGGCGGGGGUCCUGGGGGUGCAGAGGCUCACGGGGCGGGGAGGGGAGGGUGUGUACGCAGGUCUACCUCGAGUCCCUCCUGCUGCAGCCAAGGCACCUCGCCUCCCUCAGGGACCGGCUCCUGGGCUCCAGGAGAGGGAGGCGGGCCCUGUGCCCGAGGCUGCCUCCCGCCCGCCCGGCGCCCGCCUCACCUCCCGCAGGGGCCCGUUGAGCUCGCCCAGGAUGCUGUCCUCGUCGAACAUCUUGCCCUGGUAACGGUGCUCAUAGUAGUCGUGGAUCUUCUGGCGGAAGUCAGCUGGCAGCUUGUGGAAGGACAUGUACUGCUCCACCUGCUUGUACUGUGGGGAGGAGGCGAGGCUGGGUCAGACACCGCCCCCGGCCUGCAGCGGGCACAC
rnacentral:lncRNA from 1 species